rnacentral:tRNA from 1 species
GGCGUGGUAGCUCAGCUGGUUAGAGCGUGUGAUUCAUAAUCACAAGGUCGGGAGUUCAACCCUCCCCCACGCUA